UCAUUUUGCGCCGAUUCUGUC
rnacentral:siRNA from 1 species